rnacentral:rRNA from 1 species
GUUGUAUAGUUAAGUGACUAAGCGUACAAGGUGGAUGCCUUGGCAAUCAGAGGCGAAGAAGGACGUGCUAAUCUGCGAAAAGCUUGGAUGAGUUGAUAAGAAGCGUUUAAUCCAAGAUAUCCGAAUGGGGAAACCCGAUGGAUGAAGAAUCCAUCAUUUCAUUAUGAAUCCAUAGUAAUGAAAGGCAAACCGGGAGAACUGAAACAUCUAAGUACCCCGAGGAAAAGAAAUCAACCGAGAUUCCGUCAGUAGCGGCGAGCGAAAGCGGAGGAGCCAUCAAAUGUUAUCUCAACGAUUAAGAGAAUCAACUGGGAAGUUGAAUCAUAGAGGGUGAUAGUCCCGUAUCUGAAAAUAGUUGGGAAGGACUAAGUUUGAGAGAAGUAGGGCGGGACACGUGAUAUCCUGUCUGAAGAUGGGGGGACCAUCCUCCAAGGCUAAAUACUCCUGAUUGACCGAUAGUGAACCAGUACUGUGAAGGAAAGGCGAAAAGAACCCCGGUGAGGGGAGUGAAAUAGAACCUGAAACCUUGUACGUACAAGCAGUGGGAGCCGCAAGGUGACUGCGUACCUUUUGUAUAAUGGGUCAGCGACUUAUAUUUUGUAGCGAGGUUAACCGAAUAGGGGAGCCGAAGGGAAACCGAGUCUUAACUGGGCGUUUAGUUGCAAGGUAUAGACCCGAAACCCGGUGAUCUAGCCAUGGGCAGGUUGAAGGUUGGGUAACACUAACUGGAGGACCGAACCGACUAAUGUUGAAAAAUUAGCGGAUGACUUGUGGCUGGGGGUGAAAGGCCAAUCAAACCGGGAGAUAGCUGGUUCUCCCCGAAAUCUAUUUAGGUAGAGCCUUGAGCGGACACCUUUGGGGGUAGAGCACUGUUUCGGCUAGGGGGCCAUCCCGGCUUACCAACCCGAUGCAAACUACGAAUACCAAAGAGUGAUACUCAGGAGACACACGGCGGGUGCUAACGUCCGUCGUGGAGAGGGAAACAACCCAGACCGCCAGCUAAGGUCCC